rnacentral:rRNA from 1 species
AUUGAACGCUGGCGGCAGGCCUAACACAUGCAAGUCGAACGAGUGGCGGACGGGUGAGUAAUGUCUGGGAAACUGCCUGAUGGAGGGGGAUAACUACUGGAAACGGUAUCUAAUACCGCAUACCAUCAGAUGUUCCCAGAUGGGCUUAGCUAGUUGGUGGGGUAACGGCUCACCAAGGCUACGAUCCCUAGCUGGUCUGAGAGGAUGAACGGCCAAACUGGAACUGAGAAAGGGUCCAGACUCCUACGGGAGGCAGCAGUGGGGAAUAUUGCACAAGGGGCGCAAGCCUGAUGAAGCAAUGCGGCGUGUAUGAAGAAGGCCUUCGGGGUGUAAAGUACGUUCAGCGGGGAGGCGUUACCCGCAGAAGAAGCACCGGCUAACUCCGUGCCAGCAGCCGCGGUAAUAC